AUACAGCGAAACUGCGAAUGGCUCAUUAAAUAAGUUCCUCGUUUAUUUGAUAGUGCCUUACUACUUGGAUAACCGUGGUAAUUCUAGAGCUAAUACAUGCUAAAAACCCCGACUUCGGAAGGGGUGUAUUUAUUAGAUACAAAACCAAUGCCCUUCGGGGCUCUUUGGUGAUUCAUGAUAACUAUACGAAUCGCACGGCCUUGCGCCGGCGAUGGUUCAUUCAAAUUUCUUCCCUAUCAACUUUCGAUGUUUGGGUAUUGGCCAAACAUGGUUGCAACGGGUAACGGAGGGUUAGGGCUCGACCCCGGAGAAGGAGCCUGAGAAACGGCUACUACAUCCAAGGAAGGCAGCAGGCGCGCAAAUUACCCAAUCCCGACUCGGGGAGGUAGUGACAAUAAAUACUGAUACAGGGCCCUUUCGGGCCUUGUAAUUGGAAUGAGUACAAUUUAAAUCCCUUAACGAGGAACAAUUGGAGGGCAAGUCUGGUGCCAGCAGCCGCGGUAAUUCCAGCUCCAAUAGCGUAUAU
rnacentral:rRNA from 1 species